GCGCUCAUUCCAGCAGCACAUAUAUAAAACUGGAACAAUAGAGACGAUUAGCCUGGCUCCCGCGCAGGGAUGACACACAAACUGUUAAGCAUUCCAUAUUUUU
ensembl:snRNA U6 U6 spliceosomal RNA